AUUGAACGCUGGCGGCAGGCCUAACACAUGCAAGUCGAGCGAGCGGCGGACGGGUGAGUAAUGUCUGGGAAACUGCCUGAUGGAGGGGGAUAACUACUGGAAACGGUAGCUAAUACCGCAUACCAUCAGAUGUGCCCAUAUGGGAGUAGCUAGUAGGUGGGGUAACGGCUCACCUAGGCGACGAUCCCUAGCUGGUCUGAGAGGAUGACCAGCAACACUGGAAUGGAGAAACGGGCCAGACUCCUAGGGGAGGCAGCAGUGGGAAAUAUUGCACAAGGGGCGCAAGCCGGAUGCAGCAAUGCCGCGUGGGUGAAGAAGGCCUUCGGGUUGUAAAGCACUUUCAGCGGGGAGGCGUUAACCGAAGAAGAAGCACCGGCUAACUCCGUGCCAGCAGCCGCGGUAAUAC
rnacentral:rRNA from 1 species